GGCUUUUUGAUAAUAAUUUAAGGUCUGACCUGCCCAAUGAUUUAAAUAUUAAAUGGCCGCGGUACUUUGACCGUGCAAAGGUAGCAUAAUCAUUAGUUUUUUAAUUGAAAGCUUGUAUGAAAGGUUUGAUGAAAAAAAAACUGUCUUUAUUAAAAUUUUAUAGAAAUUUAUUUUUAAGUUAAAAAGCUUAAAUAUAUAUUAAAGACGAGAAGACCCUAUAGAGUUUUAUAUUUUUAUAAAAUUAUUAUAUUUUAGAAUUUUUUAAUGAUUUUAUAAAUUUUAUUUAGUUGGGGUGAUUUAAAAAUUGAAUGAACUUUUUUAUUUAUAUUUACAUUGAUAUAUGAAAUUUUGAUCCUUAUUAAAGAUUAAUAGAUAAAAUUACCUUAGGGAUAACAGCGUAAUUUUUUUUAGAGUUCUUAUCAAAAAAAAAGAUUGCGACCUCGAUGUUGGAUUAAAAUUAAUUAUUGGUGUAGAAGCUAAUAAAUUAGGUCUGUUCGACCUUUAAAAUUUUACAUGAUCUGAGUUUAAACCGGUGUAAG
rnacentral:rRNA from 1 species